UACGUAGGGGGCAAGCGUUGUCCGGAAUCAUUGGGCGUAAAGAGCGUGUAGGCGGCCCGGUAAGUCCGCUGUGAAAGUCGAGGGCUCAACCCUCGAAUGCCGGCGGAUACUGUCGGGCUAGAGUCCGGAAGAGGCGAGUGGAAUUCCUGGUGUAGCGGUGAAAUGCGCAGAUAUCAGGAGGAACACCAAUUGCGAAGGCAGCUCGCUGGGACGUAACUGACGCUGAGACGCGAAAGCGUGGGGAGCAAACAGG
rnacentral:rRNA from 1 species